rnacentral:rRNA from 1 species
UUUAAAGGGCCGCGGUAUAUUGACCGUGCGAAGGUAGCAUAAUCAUUAGUCUUUUAAUUGAAGGCUUGUAUGAAUGGUUGGACAAAAAGCGGACUGUCUCAAUUGCAUUUAUUGAAUUUAACUUUUAAGUGAAAAGGCUUAAAUAAAUUAAGGGGACGAUAAGACCCUAUAAAGCUUUACAAUAAAUUACUUAUAUUAUAAACUGUUAGUAUAACUUGAUUUUAGGUAAUAUUUGUUGCGUUGGGGCGACGAGAAUAUAACGAGUAACUGUUCUUAGUUAAUUAAUAACAUAGAUAUAUGGAAGAUGAAUGAUCCUCUUUUAGAGAUCAUAAGAUUAAGUUACUUUAGGGAUAACAGCGUAAUGUUCUUUGAGAGUCCAUAUCGACAAGAAGGAUUGCGACCUCGAUGUUGAAUUAAGGUUUCCUUAUAAUGCA